rnacentral:rRNA from 1 species
AUGAACGCUGACAGAAUGCUUAACACAUGCAAGUCCACUUGAACUUCGGUUUGGGUGGCGGACGGGUGAGUAACGCGUAAAGAACUUGCCUCACAGCUAGGGACAACAUUUGGAAACGAAUGCUAAUACCUGAUAUUAUGAUUAUAUGGCAUCGUAUAAUUAUGAAAGCUAUAUGCGCUGUGAGAGAGCUUUGCGUCCCAUUAGCUAGUUGGAGAGGUAACAGCUCACCAAGGCGAUGAUGGGUAGCCGGCCUGAGAGGGUGAUCGGCCACAAGGGGACUAAGACACGGCCCUUACUCCUACGGGAGGCAGCAGUGGGGAAUAUUGGACAAUGGACCGAGAGUCUGAUCCAGCAAUUCUGUGUGCACGAUGAAGUUUUUCGGAAUGUAAAGUGCUUUCAGUUGGGAAGAAAAAAAUGACGGUACCAACAGAAGAAGUGACGGCUAAAUACGUG